CAGUGAUCGAUGGGUGCAAGAAAAUGCUGCAUUCCUUUAAAGGGGUCAUCGUGUGGCCUCGCAGCCCCAGAGCCGCUCCGGGGGCAGGAGGGAACUCGCAGAGCAGAAACGGAGCGUCCCCGCUCAGAGCUGCCGGGCCAGAUGACACGCACCACACAGUUGGGACUUUAUCUGCGAAGACCGGAGCUGCUCCACGCACGUCCCGGACUGGAGCCCGGCGCCCGGGGAGACAGAGGCCUUUUCUUUCGCAGUUCUGGAAGCAUUUUUCCAUCUGCCCUUUCCGGUGGCCGUUUGUUUUCUGAAAUACGCAGUCGACCGUCUGCCGCCACCAUGAAGCGAAAGUGUUCAAGCUAUCAC